GUGUUUCCUCCCCGCCUCUCACUGCCCCUCUACUCGGACACAAGCAACAAGCUGCUCUCUUUCUCUCUCUCUCUCCCUCUCUCACACACACACACACAUACACACGUUGUCGGGAAUAAAAAAAAAGAAGAAAGAGGAUUUUCUUCGUCUUGGCAGGAAAAGAUGGGGAGCAUGUAUAAGGAUGAACAGGAUGACUGGGUGACAGUCUGUCUCAAGUACCUUCUCUUUGUCUUCAACUUCCUGUUCUGGAUGGGGGGAGGGGCCGUGAUGGGGGUGGGAAUCUGGACUUUGAUUGAUAAAGGAGAUUAUUUAAGCCUACUGGCCUCCAGCACAUUCGCCGUGUCAGCCUACAUCCUCUUGCUGGCCGGCGGCUUGGUCAUGGUCACAGGAUUCCUGGGCUGCUGUGCUGUCAUCCGAGAGCAGAGGAGCCUCCUGUCUGCGUAUUUCUCCUGCUUGCUAGUGAUCUUCCUGAUUGAGCUUGUUGCUGGAGUUCUAGCAUAUGUGUAUUAUCAAAAGUUGAGCGAGGAGCUGAAGCAGCAUCUGAGUACGACAAUGACGAAGAACUACGCUCAGCCAGGGAAGGAGGGCAUCACUCAGGCUGUGGACAGCCUGCAGCAAGACUUUAAGUGCUGUGGAAGCAACAACUCCUUGGACUGGCAGAACAGCGUGUACAUCCAGUCCCCAGAAUCUGAAAACAGAGUGGUUCCUGACAGUUGCUGCAAAACGGUGACCCAUGUCUGUGGCCGGCGAGACCACCCUUCUAACAUCUACAAAGUGGAGGGUGGCUGUAUUUCUAAGCUGGAGCAGUUCCUGGCUGACCACCUGCUCAUCAUCGGUGCUGUCGGGAUCGGCGUGGCCUGUCUACAGUUAGCAGGAGCACUGUUGACUGCCUGCUUUAUUUAUCUGCUUUAUAAAGAAGAGGAAGAAGACUUCUCUGAUGUUUGAAUGAUCAGUCCCGCUAUCUGGCUCCUCAACAGCCAUGUGGGCGGAAGGUCUGCCGUGUGUGUGUGUGUGCCCUCACAUAUCUGUGGGAUGGUGUUUACUUGUUGCUUGCACAGACGGAUAAAGCUUGACCCGUACUGACCGAUCAGCAGAAGCUCUACAUGUUGCCUCGAGUGCUUGAUGCCAGAUCACAUGCUUGUUUUUACAUUCCUCCCUUUUCUUUUCCUAAAAUGCAUGAAUGUACUCUCCCUCCAGUAUAAUGUUACACGAAUAUGUCUUACUCCUUCUUUUAACCUUACGGUAAUGAUUUAUUUCCAGGGGUCUUGUCUCUGUAAUGUAGUAGUCUCAGCAAGAACGUAAUCCAGUUAUCCUAAUGCUUGUGUUCUUAUUACACCCAACGAGGCUUUUUUAUAAUCUAAAAAAGAAAAAAAAUCUAUUUUUUUUCUAUAAGCACUAUAUAUGUUUAACUCUGUAUAUGUAACCAGUUAAAGCUGCUAUCUUUAUGCAACUAGAUGCUAUUUUUUUCUUAAUCAUAAUACAGUAUAAUGUACAUAAAUCAUAUAAAUGACUGUGAUGCAGUCAAAGGUAUUUUAGCAUUUUCACGUGAGCUAUGAAAAUGUAUGAUAUGAAUGUGUUUUGCUAACAAAAUGUACACCGAGAGCCUGAGAACUACUGAGAUGCUAAAAAUAACAGGGAUUUUUGGAGUAUAGCAUACUCUACAGUAUAAGCACCCUAUGGUGUAUUGCAUAAGAAUUCACCCCACUGAAAUUUUACAGUUAUCAAGUAUAUUAGGUUUAGCAUUUAAACUUAGUUGGGAUUAAUGUUUGAAAGGGUUAAUUUAAGGGUCUGGGCUUUGACUUGGGCAUCUUAAUGCAUUCAGGUUCUGGUUGUUGAACUACUCCAGUGAAACGAUGGCUGUAAUAUUUAAGGUCGUUGUACAGCUAGAAGGCAAUUUGCCCUGACCAGUUUUCUAAUCUCUGCAAAUGAAACUUCAUGCUGCCAAAACCAUGCUUCACAGUGGCAAUAGUAUUUGCAGUAUAUAAGUAUAUAUAAUGAGUAGCAUUCCUAAGACACACACGUAUAUUUGGAUACAUAGAAAACUUGUUCCAUGAUUCUUGUUAUCUUUCUAACGUCACAUGCCAGCUGUUUGUCAGUAUAUACAGCGGGAAAAAUAAGUAUUGAACACAUCACCAUUUUUCGCAGUGAAUAUGUAAUGGUGCUGUGGGCAUGAAGUUUUCACCAAAUGACUGUAACAACCCAGGUAAUCCAUACAUAUAAAGAAAACAAAAUAAAAAAGUUCAGAAAUGAA